rnacentral:tRNA from 4 species
GCGUGCGAGGCGAAUACGGUUAGUCGCGGCUGCCUGUAAAGCAGUUGUCCUUGGGGCGCAGGGGGUUCGAAUCCCCCCGCACGCA